GAUGAAGAACGUAGCGAAAUGCGAUAAGUAAUGUGAAUUGCAGAAUUCAGUGAAUCAUAGAAUCUUUGAACGCACAUUGCGCCCGCCAGUAUUCUGGCGGGCAUGCCUGUUCGAGCGUCAUUUCAACCAUCAAGCCCCCGGGCUUGUGUUGGGGACCUGCGGCUGCCGCAGGCCCUGAAAAGCAGUGGCGGGCUCGCUGUCACACCGAGCGUAGUAGAUUUUAUCUCGCUCUGGGCGUGCUGCGGGUUCCGGCCGUUAAACCACCCUUUUAACCCAAGGUUGACCUCGGAUCAGGUAGGAAGACCCGCUGAACUUAAGCAUAUCAAUAAGCGGAGGA
rnacentral:misc_RNA from 1 species